GACAGAGGUGCCGAGCGUUAGGCGGAACCACUGGGCUUAAAGCGUGUGUAGGCGGACGGGUAAGUACCUUGUGAAAUCCCACGGCUCAACCGUGGAACGGCUGGGUAUACUGCCCGUCUUGAGCCACUUAGGGGCUGUCGGAACAAAUGGUGGAGCGGUGAAAUGCGUAGAUAUCAUUUGGAACGCCAAAGGUGAAAACAGACAGCUGGGAGUGUGCUGACGCUGAGACACGAAAGCCAGGGGAGCGAACGGG
rnacentral:rRNA from 1 species